AUAUGCAAAUAAUAUGCAUUGCUGAGAACAUAACUUGGACAACUUCUAUUUAAGUUCAUAUUUAUAUUUGCACCCUCGGAUUCCAGAUUUUCAAACAGUUCUAUUUUCAGAUGAUGUGUAGACCUCUAUUCCAGAAAAGCGAUCCUUAUGGCUGGUUUUGUGCUCCGUCUCACUUCAUUAAAAGCCUUGAAGUGAACGACUGACGGAGGACGUCCUGAUGUGAGCACCGACGAACAUUCAGCAGUAAUUAGACGUUUGCUCUCGCUGUUUCAGAUGGUGCGGUGGAGAUCACGAGGGCCGUCUGCGAGUCACUGAGUCAUCAGAGACUUUUAUCCGAGAUUCUCGGCGGUCUCGCAGAUGGACCUCGAGCGCUCGACCUUUUCGCUUGCUGAAGGAGAAAAGCAGGUGAUAAAUCUCAGUAUACACCAUGUGCUACCAAUAACGGUGUGGUGCUGUCAGCUCCGUUUGACAUAAUUAGUCCUGGCUCAGUCCCAUCUAUGGGAUGAGGCAGAUUAACUAGUAGCGAACUAGGAGCUUUUAUUGUUAUGUUUCCAGUUUUCGUAGUCAUUUUUGGUUGUUUCAUAUCAUACGUGGAGUUGAUUACUAAGCACUGUGUGUGUGUGUGUGUGUGUGUGUGUGUGUCUGCUUUAAUCG